CUAACCUCGGAUGCGAGCUGCAUCAGAGAAUGAGGAUCUGGGAUUUGGGAAGGUGGGAGGUCAACAAUUCAUGAUACUUGUCUGCAGAAGCAUCAAUGUGAACAUCAAC